UUGCUCACAAGGGAAGAAACAGCCUUGGGACCUCAGAGACCCCCACCCCACUCACAUCCACCAAUACCCAUCCUAAGACUCUAGCUUGGGCCUCAGGGCAGGAGUUCUUCCUCUGAUCUCACCUCCAGACGUCCUGCUGCUGCUGUGGGGUGUCACAGUGACUCAGGAACUUGGAUGCAAGCCUCCUUAGAUCUCCCUGCUUCAGAUGUCGUGGUGAUGCUCAUCCUGGGUUCCAUGACAACAGCCUCUUCCCUCAGAGUGAUGCAGCCACCCUUGCACACCCAGGUUCAGUUUCAUCAUCUGCAAAAUGGGUUCAUAAUACUUGCUUCAUAUGGUUGCGAGGACAAGGGAUUGGCUCUUGUGAUUAUGGAGGUUAAGUCCCACCAUCUGCUGUGCAAGCUGGAGGCUCAGGAAAGCCAGUGGUGUGGUUCCAGUCCAAAUCCAAAGGCCUACGAACCAGAGGAGCCAAGGAUGUAAGUCCCAGUCAGAUUCCAAAGGCCUGAGAUGUCCGAGGUCAGAAGAUGGAUGUCCCAGCUCAACAGAGAGCAACUUUCCUCUUCCUUCCACUUUUUUGUUCUAUCCCAGCCCUCAAUGGAUUAGAUGAUGUCCACCCACUUCUUUACUCAGUCUACUGAUUAAAAUGCUAAUCUCUUCUGGAAACACCCUCACAGAUGUGGACCUUAAAACCCUUACCUUAAACCACAGCCAGGAAUAAGAGGUGGAGGGUUCUAGGCUAUAUCCCA